rfam:Rhizobium lusitanum strain P1-7 genome assembly, contig: Ga0061101_110
CCAGCCGCUGAUGAAGGGCUGGCCUUGCUGGAGGCGCCGUCUUUCGGCGCUUCCGUACCCCAUGUUGCUUCAAGGAGGAUAUGGCUAUGGCAA